AGUAAUCAACGCUGGCGGCGCGCUUAACACAUGCAAGUCGAGCGAGAAAAGGGCAACCUGAGUAAAGCGGCGUACGGGUGAGUAACACGUGGAUCAUCUACCUUUUAGUGGGGAAUAACUCUGGGAAACCGGAGCUAAUACCGCAUAAUCCUGUGAAGGGAAAGCAGCAAUGCGCUGAAAGAGGAGUCCGCGGCCGAUUAGCUAGUUGGUGAGGUAAUGGCUCACCAAGGCGACGAUCGGUA
rnacentral:rRNA from 1 species